GUCCAUGCUGUGACUUUAUGAGUAUUAAGUAUUAAAUAAAAUUUGGUAUUUAAGCUAACGCGUAAAUACUCCGCCUGGGGACUACGACCGCAAGGUUGAAACUCAAAGGAAUUGACAGAGGUUAACUCGAGCAGUGGGACAUGUGGUUUAAUGCGAUAUAAAACGUCAAAUCUUACCAGUAAUUGCAUUUUAAAUAUGUAAAAAGAAAUUUUUAAAAAUUAAAAAUAAAUUUAAUAAAUUUAAAACAAGGUAACUGCAUGGCUGUCGU
rnacentral:rRNA from 1 species